GAGUAAUACAUAGGAAUCUACCUAGCAGUAAGGAAUAACAUUGGGAAACCAAUGCUAAUGCCAUAUAUUACCGAUUGAGUAAAAUCUUUCGGGAAAGAUUUAUCGCUGUUAGAUGAGCCUUUGUCGGAUUAGCUAGUUGGUAGGGUAAUGGCCUACCAAGGCGAUGAUCCGUAGCUGGUCUGAGAGGAUGAUCAGCCACAUUGGGACUGCGACACGGCCCAAACUCC
rnacentral:rRNA from 1 species